UGGAAUUAAUAAUACAGGUGGUAGGGUGAUGUAGUGAAUAAAAUAAAUUUCACGAAACUUGUUACCAUAAGGUACAAUUAUUUGAAAUUAGUUAGAACAAGUCUGUGGGAUCCUCAGAUAAAUAGGUUUAAUAGUCAAAAGUGGGAACAGUAGGUAAGAUUAGUAAAAAUAAAAAAAGAUAAUUUGAUGGUAUGUUUGCUGCUAUCAUAAAAUUUGUAAGGUUCAUAUUAAAUUCACUUUGCCCUUUUUUUUCUACGUUUCCGACAUGUUUGGUUGUCUCCAAAUGUCUUUUAAUAUUGCUUACCUUCGUUGGUAUAUCUUGAUUACAGCAAGAGCAGUAUACGUGUUUGUCACGUACCUCCAAAAACGGAAAAUUGCCACAAUAUUCGAGUAAAGAUGACAUUUUAGAGCGUUUUCUUAUACAUUAGUAAAUAUAAA